rnacentral:rRNA from 1 species
GCCAGCGGCGAUAGCACGUACAAUGCAUCAGUUCCCAAUGGCUCGCAGAAGUUAAGCAACGUUGCACGUGGUUGGUAUCCGGAACGGUGAUUACUUGGACAAUCGCGUUCUGCUUUCA